rnacentral:rRNA from 1 species
ACCAGGUUGAUUCUGCCUGACGUGGAUGCUAGUCUCAUAGGUUAAGCCAUGCAUGUGCAAGCGAAGCGUAAGUGGAGCGGCGCAAGGCUCAGUAACGGGCGAGUAUUUGAUCUCCUAGAGUGGAUAUCCUCUGUAACCGGAGGCAAAACACAAGAUGAGCGAUUGACGAGGUCGUUCGUCUAACGAAUAGUGUAGGAGAGUAAGAAGCCAUCCCAUCAGUUAGUAAGUAGGGUAAGGGCCUACUUAGACGAAGACGGGUACGGGGAAUUAUCGUUUGAUUCCGGAGAGGGAGCCUGAGAGACGGCUACCAGGUCCAAGGACAGCAGCAGGCGCGAAAAUUACCGCAGCCUGCAUUCAGGGCGGUAGUAAGGAGACGUGAAAACAAUGUGCGGGCAAAAAACGCACUAGAUACAGGAGGACAAGACUGGUGCCAGCACCCGCGGUAAUACCAGCUCCUGGAGUGUCUAUGAUGAUUGCUGCAGUUAAAGAGUUCGUAGUCGAAGUGGUUAUAACGGUGUAACAGGCCUUCUCUCAAGGAGGGUUAUGCGCCGUGAUUCCAUGGAAUAAGGAGCGUUUAGGGGCCAGGUUAUUAAGCGACGAGGGGUGAAAUCUGGUGACUCGCUUAGGAGCAACAGAGGCGAAAGCGCUGGCCAGGAGCGAAUCCGAUGAUAAAGGACGUAGGCUAGAGGAUCGAAGACGAUUAGAGACCGUUGUAGUUCUAGCAGUAAACGAUGCCGAUACCGUGGUGCGGAUACGCGACGCGGAAGAGAAAUCGAGUAGGGCCCUGGGGAGAGUACACGCGCAAGCGAGAAAUUUAAAGGAAAUUGACGGAAGAACACCACAAGGAGUGGAGUGUGCGGCUUAAUUUGACUCAACGCGGGACAGCUUACCAGCCCGACGGCCGGACGAGUGUUGUACACGAUAGGUCGAAGAGUGGUGCAUGGCCGUUAACGACGAGUGAGGUGACUUUUGGGUUAAAUCCGGGAAGUAGUGAGACCCCUACCGAAAGGGACAGGUGCCGAAAGCACAGGAAGGAAGGGUCAAGAACAGGUCAGUGAUGCCCUCAGAUGGUCUGGGCUGCACGCGCACUACAGUGGUCAUAGAAAUGAAACGAUAGAAUUAAAGAUGAUCGAGAGGGAAUGAGCUUUGUAAGAGGCUCAGGAACGAGGAAUUGCUAGUAAUCGCGGACUCAUUAAGACGCGAUGAAUACGUCCCUGUUCUUUGUACACACCGCCCGUCGUUAUCGAAGAUGGAGUCAGGCGCGAACAAGCGAGAGCGAGUGAGUGCAGGAUUCUAGAUGUGAUA